ACUACGGGUGGCUGCAGUGGGGAAUAUUGCACAAUGGGGGAAACCCUGAUGCAGCGACGCCGCGUGAGUGAAGAAGUAUUUCGGUAUGUAAAGCUCUGUCAGCAGGGAAGAAAAUGACGGUACCUGACCAAGAAGCCCCGGCUAACUACGUGCCAGCCGCCGCGGUACUACGUAGGGGGCAAGCGUUAUCCGGAUUGACUGGGUGUAAAGGGAGCGUAGACGGCAGGGCAAGUCUGGAGUGAAAGGCGGGGGCUCAACCCCCGGACUGCUCUGGAAACUGCCAGGCUGGAGUGCAGGAGAGGUAAGUGGAAUUCCUAGUGUAGCGGUGAAAUGCGUAGAUAUUAGGAGGAACACCAGUGGCGAAGGCGGCUUACUGGACUGUAACUGACGUUGAGGCUCGAAAGCGUGGGGAGCAAACAGGAUUAGAUACCCGAGUAGUC
rnacentral:rRNA from 1 species